rnacentral:lncRNA from 1 species
GCUGAGGAAGACCCAGAAACUUCUGGGCCAUGUAAGCCACAGCCACAGCCUCAUCAGCAAGCACCAAAAGCACUCCGGAGGCAGGAGUAAUACUGGUGGCAAGCAUCACCACAGGAUCAACUUUGACAAACCUCACCUAGGUUCCUUUGGGAAAGUUGGUAUAAGGGUUACCACUUAAAGAGGAACCAGAGCUCCUGCUCAAAUGCCAACCCUGAUAAAUUGUGGACUUUGGUCAGUGUACAGACACAGGUGAAUGCUGCUAAAGACAAAACUGGAGCUGCUCCCACCAUUGAUGUGGUGUGAUCAGGCUACUACAAAGUUCUGGAGUUCUGGGAAACGGAAAUCUACCAAAGCAACCUGUCAUCAUGAAGGCCAAAUUCUUCAGCAGAAGAGCUGAGGAGAGGAUUAAGGGUGUUGGAGGUGGGGCUUGAGUCCUGGUGGUAUGA